rnacentral:lncRNA from 1 species
UUGAGUGAGAAGUGUUCAGAUAGGUCCAAGGUCAGUCGCUGGCCAGUAGAAGAAGAAGAAGAAAAAGGAAACGUCAUGCAACAUUGCUAAAAUUUCCACGUGUAGGCCAAAAAUUUGGCACUGUAAACGGCAGCAAUCUUCUGGGGAACGCAUUUGUCAAUUAAAGAAGCAAGGGCUAAUUCUAAGGGAUGGAACACCAAUGUAAGAACCAAGGGCCAAUUCCAAUGGAUUGAACGCAUCUUCCGCCUUAAACAAUAUUGGAAAACUAGCCAGUAACUUACCUACCGUUUGCGAAGAGAUUGGAUGGGUUCUUCAU